rnacentral:lncRNA from 1 species
GUCACUGGAUAGACUGUAACUCGAUGUGUUCCUGGACAUGUUGACUACUAUGUCAGUGAGUAAGCGAUUGACCCAACCAUGCCCCUAAGGCAUUGUUAAUGGCUAGCAUGUCAUGUCGCCGGCGUCUUGAUUCAGGCAUUGGGUGUCAGAGAAAACCUUGUCGCACAAGUUACCCUAUACCCAUGACAUACCAUUUGGGAUCUUUGCCGAUCUUGCAUUCUUGUACUCAAGAUCCAUCAACAAAGACCCCUCGAGCUAUAGAGUGACAGCCUAGCAAGCAGCGUGGUGGUGCUGGCACUAACUCGGCUUAGAGUGGGACUAUAUAUUUUAUCCUCUUACAAUUGCUCAUCAAUUCUUAUGAGCUAGAUCGUUGCCAGCUGAGGGCAUGUGAGUUGGAAGUUUAUGUUUCUUGGUGUGGAUAAGCUCGAAUGACAGAGCUCGUCAAUACAUGCAAGUUGUCUUCUCAAUAUACUUGGUUGUCAUUUCAGUGUCCUGUAGUACCACACGUCAAUAUCUGAUUUGCUUGUAGCUUGGUUAGUGCAUGAAUGCCAGAGUGCCGCACCUACCCUUAGGGCCUAUAUGACACUAUUUUGGCAGGAGCUUGUGGUUAUCAGAUUGCCACGUGUCAUCGUCCUAAGGGCAUAUAUGACAUGGUUCGGAGUGAGUUUUGGUGAGGAAGACGAAGUGUCCUAAGGGCGUAUUUGGCGGUAAGUUACUUUUGGCUUUCCUAUAAAUAGUUGGCUUUCUCAUGGUCACUAUUCACCUUAUGUUUAAGAGUUUUGUAGAGAGAGAAGUUGUGCUUGAGAACUGUUAUCGUCCAUUCAUUACCGAUGUUGAUACUGUUUUUUAUGCCAAUUCUGAGGCGGUUCAUAUCCUCUGACCGCCAUUAAUCAAUACUGUGAGUCUACCAUUUUUGGAAUUUUUUUCUGCGAUAUAUAUAUUUUUUUUUGUAUUUCUUUGAUGUGGGUCAGUGUUUUAUGCCCCUGGUUUUGAAUUUUUUUUUCUUCUGUGCAUAGUCUAUCUAUAUACUCUGAAUGUCCACCAUUUAUGGGCGGUCUUUGAGAUUUUAUCUUUCAAGGGAUAGGGUUGCCCGUGAAUCCAUUUUCUCUGAUGGAAAUGGGUCCCAAAUGUGAUUGUAAUUGCAUAAUUUAAGCCUCUAUUGGUUCAUUUGUGUUGAAUAUCUAAAAAACCAUCUUCUAAGGUUAGCGUUUUGCCCCCCUCAAGCCCUUCUAUUGACGAGAUAGGAUCGAGGCAAGAGGAAGGCUUGAAAGUUGUCCCAUAGUAAAAUGUAUAUAUACCUCGUGGGAUAGAGCUCAGAGCUCUUGGAGAGCUUGACUAACUCUGUACCUAAAUGUUGAACUUCGUAGGGCAGAGCUUAGAGCUCAUGGGGAUUCAAGCUCGGCUAACUCUGCUCCCAAUGGUCCAUCAUCUUUACUUAGGUUAAGCUUUUCCUUACUGUUUUGCUUCUAUUUCAGAACAUAGAGUUGAAUUGAGCUUGACGACUAGUUUAAGGUGGCGUCGCAAUGACGAAGUUUAGGAGUGACCACGACAAAUGAUGUGCUGAUAGAGAGGCUAAGACCUAACAAGGUGGCCUCCAUAGUGGAAGGAGACAGAGAUCGCAUCCCGGUCUGCACGUGGAUUAUCUACCAAGUUGGACUUAGGUUCCCCCUUAGUCCAAUGCUGAAUGAAGUUAUGGCGCAGUGUUGGCUCACCUUCAAGCAAUUGUCGGUAAAUUUUAUCUUAAUUGCGCUUGCAGUGGACACAUUGAUGCGAAUGGAAGGGUUGUCAUUCAACGCCUACGACAUAUUGCAUGUGUACAACAUGGUAUGCCUGAAAAAAAAAAGCUUGGUACCAAUUUGUACACCGAUAUCCACUAUCUUCGGCUUUGGAAACCCCAAUAACCCCAUACAAGACUGGUAACCAAGAUCCACGACAAAGAUUAACUUAAUUAAUUUGUUGGGUCCGAAGGAUGGGAAUUCAGAGCUGGGACGAUGGCCAUCUAGUCAUUCCCCAGGCACAACGGAAAACAUUCCUUAUUAGUAACACUCUUUUUUCAUACCUCAAUUAUGUUGAUCUUCUUGCACUGUAUACUCUCCAAUUGUUGGAUCUAACAAUGCCCAUUCUGGGUGGCGUUGUACAAGAUUCAACAGCAUUUGGAAAAAAGACCAAGUAGUGCGCCGACACCACUCAAAACACGUAAAUAAUAGUCCGAUGCUCCCCGGGACCAAAAACUCAUCUCAUAAGUUGGUAUAUCCCGAGAUAUAUUCUCUACCGAGGUGGACGUGCUUGGCCUGAGUUAGGCUUUCACCCCUGGUGCAUUCGAGAUUAGGGUCCUCUAUUCAACGAUCGAGCGGACUAGAUAUUUAGAACAGAGGUUGAACAACAGUGGCUCCAACUCUAAAAGACUUGAGAGGAAGAUGAGGUAAAAGCUCUACUUCCUCAAGCUCAGUUGACCUUUUGGGAAGCAAAAAGGUAGAAGAGGUAUAAGAGAGGGAAGAGGUUGAGUAGGUUGUUGGAGCGGUAAUCCCGACUAACUUGCUUGUAGUGUGUCCUAUCCUAAAGGCCCUGAUGCUCCAGAAGAUUCUUCAUUCAAUUCCCCGCUCUGCUGGUGACGAAGUUGACCAUUCUUCGUGGAGGGCGGAAUGCGGGAUGCAACUCGAUGUAGAAUCUUCGAAAGCAAAGAAUUCACGAUGAUUGAUGCUCCACCCCAAAAAAAGUCUAAGGAAUAUUCCUACUCCCACAACCCAAACUGCUAUUCCCCCAGCACAGCCUUUAUUGAUCUGCUCCAACCUUUGUGGAGCGAGCUUGCCCACCUCCUACAUCAUAAGAAAGGCAGGUGAAGGAACCUAAUGGUCGGCCCUUCCGCAAAUGAAAAUAGGGAGGAAGAGCAAGUUUGACCAGUACCUCGAUUCCGUAUGCUACCCCCGAGCUCUGGGCUUACUAUUGCACUUUGCGACCUCGGGAAACAAUUGACUAUGGUCGACAUAGUUGAGGAUCAUGACACCUGCCUUGCCUUGUUGUUAUGCUUCAUCGAGUUAUGAUGGACCUCAUUGCAGAGGAAAUACUAGAAGCUAGAAGCCUCAUGGUCAUGCAACAUGCGCGAGUAAGUGUCCGAGUUCAAUUGUGUUAUCACCUUCAAAAUUUUUAAACACUUUUAAAUAUUUGUUUGCUUGCUUGUUGCAUAGCCUCCAGAGGGCCAUGGCUAACCUUGAGCGCCUAAAGAAACAUUCUUUCAAGCUCAAAAAGGCCUAAAAGAAAGCCAAUUUUUUUGGAGGCUGAGUUGAAGACUACCAAUGAAAAGCUCGCCGCUACAAAAAAAAGGCUCACGAUGCCAAUGCUGAGGUUGCUGCAAUGUCCCUAAUCAAAAUCAAUGUUGCUCAGGGCAAGGUGGAGAAAGCACUCCAAGAUCUGGACAAGGUUCAAAAGGUGGCACAAGGUCUGGUGUACCAGCGGGUAUUUGACCGCGGCUUCAAUCGGGAUGGGGACUACUACCUUAGACAGGUAGCUGAGUUGCACCCAAACAUAUUCCACGAAGGUUGGCUUGCCUGUUUAAAGGAGCUCAGUAUAACUCUUAAUCAUUUUUUGUGAACUACGACAUUACCUAAGGUAGUUCUUCCAAAUCCACCUAAGUCAAACUCGCCUAUGAUUCUGCCUAGCUUCAAUGAAGAAGAAUAUGCAAAUCAACCAGAAGAAGGGGAAGUAAAGGUGGAGAAGAGGUGGAGACGCCAGGUAGAAGGCGAGCUCAGGGCAAAAGUAGAAGGAAAUGGGACCGUGGAGCGCAGACAUCCCUGUGAAGUUGUUAAGUGCCUUGUACUGUAUUAAGGGGAUGGUCCUUUUUGAAAAUUUUGUAAAUAUUUUUGUGAAACAAUUGGCAUUUUGGAAUUUGAUAUAAUAUUAUAUGAAAUACUUUUUCCUCCCCACUCUGCAUUACCAUUUACUUUUGGCUUUAACUUAUUUUCUGGUUUGCAUGUUAUUCCUUUAGGACCCUGAACUCGGUGUUGGGUCGACUAGAAAAAAGGCCUCUAGUGAAUAUUUGGCAUUUGUAUCAUGGAUAGUGGGUCUUUGAAAACUCUGUGAUGCCCUGCCUCAUUCGAUAUUUACAGGGUCCACCAAAUCUCGUUAGUUUCUUAAAACAGACAGCAAACGGAAAGAAGACCCGAAGCUCAUUCCUUUUGCAGGACGUAUUUCUUCCAACGAAAACAAACAUCUCAACAUGAGACAUGAGGUCAUGGGGGAUGAUUGGGGGGAUUUGAGGCGUCAAAUCUUCCCUCGCUUCAGCCUGGGUUAGUUUGAGCCUUAAAUAAACCAUGGUAAGCCCUUUGAGCCACUUCUAAUUUAUUGUAAAACUCCUCAUAGCAUUUGAUGUAGUCGGAGUGCUUCUUUCUUUCCCUUACGAAGGUCAGAAGAGAGUUGUACACCCCUUGGUCUGGUGUUGAUAACAAAACCGAGCACGAAUGACUCGAAAAGUUGGCCAAAAGCUCUGAUGAACCAUGUGGGAGCUUAGCAAACCAUUUUAAGACGAGGUACCCAGGCUUGAUGAAAAUACCUUUGCACAUGAAUGCGUCAAGGUGGUUCCAAGUGACAUUACCUACUGAAACGGCUAAUGUGCGACUAGGAUCUGACUUCCCUUAUACAGGGUAAACUUCAGGGGGUUGAACUUUUUCCAGAGGAUCCAUUCUCCUUCAUCUUCACUUGCGAAAGCGGUCUAGUCCUCUAGAGUUGUUAUAGUUGCUCGACUUGCAACUUAGUUUUUUGAUCUACGUGAUUAUGAUUUUCCAGCCCUUGUUUGCCCAGACACGCAACUUUGCCCGCAAAUCCAAUCUUCUACAGUAGUUCCGGAAUGACUUUUCAAGGCAAGUAAUGUAUCAUGAACUUUAAGAAAGAUAAGUGUUUUUUUUAAGCUCAGUUCACACCAGUUGCAUAUCUUUGAUAAAUGACAGGGGCAUAACCUUUUAUAGUUAAUUAGGCGUGUGCCCUGGACGCCCCUAUCACAUAACUGA